AUUUCUCCCUCCCCACACCCUUCUUGAAAUAUAUAUUUUCUCUCUCCAUUAGACUUGUUCAUUCAGUUUCAAACAAUUUGUGAUUUGUCCAAAUUUGGGCAAUUCAAAAAUUGUUUGAAACUGAAUGAACAAGUCUAAUGGAGAGAGAAAAUAUAUAUUUCAAGAAGGGUGUGGGGAGGGAGAAAUG
rnacentral:miRNA from 1 species